UAAAAAAGAUAAUUUCUAUAUAUAUAUUGUAUUGUUAUUUGAAAAAGUAUUUUAGUAAAAUGUUAAAAACAUAAAUUAUAUAAUUAAAUAUUAAUCAAAUAAUUUUUAAUUAUAUAAUAAAAAAUAUAAUAUUAAGUUAUUUUAAAAUAUAUUUUAGAAAUUAAUCUAUAUAUAUAAAAAUGUGUUUGCGUCUCUCAUAAGCUAUCCACGUGGAAAAUCACUCUCUGACAAGCCGACACGUGUCUCUGGGUUUUAUUUCUUUGGCUCGACUUGAGUUUAACUUUGGGCUUAUACUAUGAACAAUUGACAGGGCGUCAAUUGUUCGCUGCACCGAUAUUGUUUCAGAUUUCGGAGUAAAAUAUAAUGUGUGCUAUGGUCCAUGUGACGACAAAGGAAUGUGUUGGCCGUAUUGUCAUACCAAAACAGGUCGGAAAAGGGGAGACUGUGUUGGCAAAGGAAAAGAUUAUUUAGGCAUUUGUUGUUGUGAUGAACAAUAGAUAAAAUAUUAAAUAAUAUCAUUAGAUAUUAUAUCUUGUAUGAAAUGAAAUAAUAUUACCAAUAAUACAUAAAAUGCUUUUACAAAAAAAUAUAAAAUAUUAUCAAAUUGAAGUUACUUUGAUUAACCUCGAUAAAACAUUACUCAAAGUUGCAUGUCUUUUCUAAAAAAAAACAUUUAUAAAAGUAUAGUAAAUCUAUAUUAUAAUAGAUGGGUUUUUAUUCACUUCUCAGCAUAUCCACCUCAGUAUGUGGAUCCCACUAAAUUUCUAUGUAUUAAAAAAAAAUUAUGUUUAAAACUGUGGUUAAUAUCUAAUGGGCUUAAUCAUAGAAAUCAAAGAAAAGACCCAAUUGAAAUCUAUUGUUUUUUUUUAGUUCCGUAAGCGUCGUCUUCCUGGAAGAAAAAAAAAUAGGGCUUUCCACCAUUCUUUCAGACAAAUCUCAAAACACAGAAUGACCUUUUGUAUUUUUGAUUGCAAUUGAAAUCUAUUGUUUUUUUUUAGUUCCGUAAGCGUCGUCUUCCUAGGAGAAAAAAAAAUAGGGGUUUCCUCCAUUCCUUCAGACAAAUCUCAAAACACAGAAUGACCUUUUGUAUUUUUGAUUGCAAUUGAAAUCUAUUGUUUUUUUUUUGUUCCGUAAGUGUCGUCUUCCUAGGAGAAAAAAAAGGUCCUUUUGUAUUUUUGAUUGCAGUUUCUCUUCCUAAAUCUCUACAUCUCCUCGCCUUUAAUAAAUUUACAAUUAAUGGUCCUGAUUCGUAACCCCUUCGUGAACCUUCCUUAUACAUUCUUACUCUUCAAAGGAGGAACUUUUCAACUAAAAAAAUUCAUCGAUUCAUCUAUCUUAUUAAAACUUAAGUACAAAUCUAUCUUAUUAAAACUUAAGUACAAAUUAGGUUUGUUUGAAAACAUAUAUAGUAAUUUUUUAAAAAAGUUUGUUUGGAAACAAGGAUUGUAGUUUUAAAAAAAGAUUAUUUAGAAAUAUGGAAUGCAUGUUUAAAAAAAAAGUAUGUUUAGAAACAUAAAUUAUAA